GACAGAGGCCUCAAGCGUUAGGCGGAAUCACUGGGCUUAAAGCGUGUGUAGGCGGGUCGUUAAGUACCUUGUGAAAUCCCACGGCUCACCCGUGGAACUGCUGGGUAUACUGGGCGAUCUUGGGCCAACUAGGGGCAACUGGAACAAGCGGUGGAGCGGUGAAAUGCGUAGAUAUCGCUUGGAACGCCAAAGGUGAAAACAGGUUGCUGGGGUUGUGCCGACGCGUGA
rnacentral:rRNA from 1 species